GCGUUGACGAAAAUGUGGCCGUGCUGGUGACAGAGUGUUUCCUUCCUUGAAUUGGAUCUGCAUUUUGACCAUGGGAGGCAAGUAUCAAAUUGAUUAUACCUAAGGCUGUAUUGUUCCUUCGUGCCACGCAAACCAAAAUGCAAGCAGUUGUUUAGCCACAUGGUGUGGACAAGAGCUUUUGGACUGUUGGGACCUAGGACACCCUUCUGCCACAUUAUAUCUAUUUCAUGGUCGCUUCCGGUCCAGGCUACUGAUGAUGGCCCGGAUACUUGUCGGCUCAAACUCUGUGCCAUCUUCGCGUUGCAGGGAUAGAAUGAACGUUGCAAUAUGCUCGUCAAGGAAAUCGACAUCCAACUGAUGCAUUUCCCUGGUCUCACCCUUUGUCAGUAGAAACCUCUGGAACUUUUUUGUGUCAUUUAAUGUUUUUUUUGCUGUGUUUUUGUUUUCUUCUUUUGUGAUGUACUGUCGGACUUCAGAAAGCUCUAUGUUUUUAAAUUCAUUUUGAAUUGACUGGUUGAGAUGUUUAGCUUCAUUUUGAAUUGUAACAUUUGUGUUAUUUUGAUCAUCACAAUUUGACUCAGGGGCAUUAUUCUCAGUUAAAUCCUCAUCAAAUUGAAGUGCAUUUAGUCCAUAUUUUUGCUCAAAUUCUUCCAAACUUAAUUCCACAGCAUUUGAAAACAAACCAUCCCAUACUACAUCAAAAUCACCUGUUUCUUGGUUGAACAUUGUUGUCAAAAUUUAUUUCAUUUGAUGAAAUAUGUUUUGCUGCAGUUUUAUUUUAAUUCUUGAUUGUGUAUUAUUUAUUUUUUCAUUAUUUCAACCACAAUUGACAUUUAAGACUUAAGCAGACGACUUGAUUUGCUGCUGACUUAUUUAAUAAAAUACAUGAAAUAAAAAAGAAACAUUUUAUAUAUUUUAAAUAUUUAUUUCUAAACAAUUUAUUUACAAUUAAAUGAAAAUAAUAUAUUUUAUUAUUGCAUUGUGUUGAUUUUUAGCCAUUCAUUGACAAGAAAAGUCAUACACAAGGUAAACAAUUGCUUACUACUGAACCGUGAUACAAAAAGUAGUCCCUCUUAAUAAUGACGUCAUGAGGACGCGCACUUAAUA